AAAAAGAUAAGCUAAGAAAGCUAAUGGGUUCAUACCCCAUGAAUGAAGAUAAUCUUCUCUUUUAA
rnacentral:tRNA from 1 species